UGUAUAGUGCUACAGCAGGCAGAAUCGC
rnacentral:piRNA from 1 species